UACGAAGGGGGCUAGCGUUGCUCGGAAUCACUGGGCGUAAAGGGUGCGUAGGCGGGUCUUUAAGUCAGGGGUGAAAUCCUGGAGCUCAACUCCAGAACUGCCUUUGAUACUGAGGAUCUUGAGUUCGGGAGAGGUGAGUGGAACUGCGAGUGUAGAGGUGAAAUUCGUAGAUAUUCGCAAGAACACCAGUGGCGAAGACGGCUCACUGGCCCGAUACUGACGCUGAGGCACGAAAGCGUGGGGAGCAAACAGG
rnacentral:rRNA from 1 species